UCUGCGUGUUUCACAGGUAGGCGGCAGUUCCAUGCUGGGGCUCUGCGAGGUCUGCUCCUGAAUCAGGAGUCACCAGGUCACAGGAGAGAUCUUCAAGGGGGUGGGACUGACCCAGUUUCCCAGGGCGAGUGGCGAUGCCUCCCAGGAAACCAACUUCUCUUUCAGGGCCCGUCAGGUUCCGCAGGCUGCUUUUGAUGUCCGGCCCACACCCUUCCUGCUGCUGUUUUCCAGUCCAGUCCUUCUGGGAGGCACUGAGCAGUCUGUUCCAGCUGCUGGGACAAAAUCCCAUACAGGGAGUGGCUUAGAAACAGCACAAAGACAUUUCCCACGGUUCAGGAGAAACCCAAGUUCAAGGUGCCGCAAACCCCGGGUCUGGCUCGUUACACGGCUGCUUCCAGCUGUGUUCUCAAGUCUCUCUCUGGGAGCAUUCCUUUGCUCCAGCCCUGGGGGCCCCUCCUGUACAAGGUCAUCCAGGUCAAACUUCCAGAGCUGACUGUGCAGUCUCUGUCCAAGGGCCACCAGAAUGAGACUCUCCACCGAGGGAGAUGUUUACAGCGCUGAGAAACCACCAAGCAGCUCUCCUGGCCUGUGACACACACGCCCUUCCCCUCGCCAUCCCUGUCCCUUAGCCCGGCCUGGGCUGAGGUGGGAUCAGAGCAGGCGAUGGGAAGCAUGACCCCGGGUUUCCCUCCCAGCGACUCACUGCAAGACCCACACAAGAGCCACAGGGAAGCUCGGCAUGGGCCCCAAGUCCUGGGCUUGCCUGGCUGCUGCCCGAGAACCCACCCACCACCCUGCACAGCCCUGGGUGUGCGAGGGACGCCUGAGAAAUUCGCACCGUGUUCCGAGGCUCGAGGGUGCAGAGAACCGGAACUGAAUCAGGGCAGGGGAUGCUGGGCGGGGGGAGGGCCUUGCCGGACAUUCAGGGACCAGGUCUCUCAGCCCAGAGUGACGUCACCCGGGUCCUGGCUCAGGGGCUCUGCAGGUGUCACGUCUUUAGGGAAGUCCCUGUUCAGUCACAUGAUGGGUUGGACAUGAGAAAGCCACAAAGGCCCCUCACGUGAUCCAGGGAGGCAGAGCCCUCAGCCUCCCAGAGGGCCUCCCAGGGGACGCUGCAGGGAUCAGCCCCAGCCCAGCAGGGUGGGUGACUGCCCGGGCCAGGGAGCUGGCCCCAUGCUCCUCGUGUGCUAAGUGGGGCCAACCCAAACCCUGGCCCCACGAGCAGCUCUGAACUCAUGUUUCCUGAAUGAAGGGCAGGCCCCUCGGACUCUCACGGCCCCACUGAUGACAUCACACCCCUCCCAGGGAAGCAGCUCCUUAGGGGGCUCUGAGACCCCCACGCGUCACCCUAGCCUAUCCACACACCACGAGGUCCAGCCUGUCUGCAGCUCCUUGUUGUUCGUGCUGCAGACUGUGUGGCUCCCCAGCCACUGUGCAUCCCUGGCUCAUGUCCAAAGCCGCCUUCUAGAAGAGUGCACUUAACUUCGAUGCCUGAGCCGUUCACUCCCAGCGCCUGGCACGGAGCAGCCGCUGAAUGAAUGACAGACACCUGGGCGCCUGCAGCUGGCCUCGCCUCGCCUCCCUUGUAGAGGUGGCUGCACCCGCAGUGUCCUUGCACUCUGCUCUCUGCAGGCCCUGGGAACGGCUCCGGGCGGAGAAGUCACGGCUCCCGGGGAGGGGCAGGCCUCACCUCACUGCAUGGAGCCCGGGCUGCAAGCACGCUAGGGGAAGGGCACAGGGCACACAGCUGGCAGGGAAACAGACCAGGAAAUUGUCCCGCUAAACAGGAAGUGUGUGAACGCAGCGGGCAGGCUUCCUGGGGAGUGGGAGGGAGGAAGUCAGCCUUCCCACGUGCUGGACACAGCACCCAGGUCCUCUGGCUCAGCCCUCAGCCCAGUGGAGCAGGAUUCCCAGGCUGGGGGAGGGCUUUAACCAGAGGGCAGGGGUCUGUCAAGAGGUGAUGUAACAGGCUGUGAGCCCUGACCAGGAAGCCCCAAGUCCAAACACCACAGAGCCCCGAGGAAGAAGGCCGGCUGCCCUUAUAUGAGGAGGAAGGAGAGAUGGAAAGCGUAGGGGGGCCGGCGCUGUGGUAUAGCGGGUAAAGCCACUGCCUGCAGUGCCGGCAUCCCAUAUGGGCGCUGGUUCGAGUCCCGGCUGCUCCACUUCACAUCCAGCUCUCUGCUAUGGCCUGGGAAAGCAGUAGAAGAUGGCCCAAGUGCUUGGGCCCCUGCACCCAUGUGAGAGACCUGGAAGAAGCUCCUGGCUCCUGGCUUUAGAUGGGCACAGCUCUGGCCACUGCAGCCAUCUGAGGAGUGAACCAAUGGAUGGAAGACUUCUCUCUCUCUUUGCUCUGCCUCUGCCUCUCUGUAA